GCUGGCGGCGUGCCUAAUACAUGCAAGUCGAACGAGUUCUCGUUGAUGAUCGGUGCUUGCACCGAGAUUCAACAUGGAACGAGUGGCGGACGGGUGAGUAACACGUGGGUAACCUGCCCUUAAGUGGGGGAUAACAUUUGGAAACAGAUGCUAAUACCGCAUAGAUCCAAGAACCGCAUGGUUCUUGGCUGAAAGAUGGCGUAAGCUAUCGCUUUUGGAUGGACCCGCGGCGUAUUAGCUAGUUGGUGAGGUAAUGGCUCACCAAGGCGAUGAUACGUAGCCGAACUGAGAGGUUGAUCGGCCACAUUGGGACUGAGACACGGCCCAAACUCCUACGGGAGGCAGCAGUAGGGAAUCUUCCACAAUGGACGCAAGUCUGAUGGAGCAACGCCGCGUGAGUGAAGAAGGCUUUCGGGUCGUAAAACUCUGUUGUUGGAGAAGAAUGGUCGGCAGAGUAACUGUUGUCGGCGUGACGGUAUCCAACCAGAAAGCCACGGCUAACUACGUGCCAGCAGCCGCGGUAAUACGUAGGUGGCAAGCGUUAUCCGGAUUUAUUGGGCGUAAAGCGAGCGCAGGCGGUUUUUUAAGUCUGAUGUGAAAGCCCUCGGCUUAACCGAGGAAGCGCAUCGGAAACUGGGAAACUUGAGUGCAGAAGAGGACAGUGGAACUCCAUGUGUAGCGGUGAAAUGCGUAGAUAUAUGGAAGAACACCAGUGGCGAAGGCGGCUGUCUGGUCUGUAACUGACGCUGAGGCUCGAAAGCAUGGGUAGCGAACAGGAUUAGAUACCCUGGUAGUCCAUGCCGUAAACGAUGAAUGCUAGGUGUUGGAGGGUUUCCGCCCUUCAGUGCCGCAGCUAACGCAUUAAGCAUUCCGCCUGGGGAGUACGACCGCAAGGUUGAAACUCAAAGGAAUUGACGGGGGCCCGCACAAGCGGUGGAGCAUGUGGUUUAAUUCGAAGCAACGCGAAGAACCUUACCAGGUCUUGACAUCUUUUGAUCACCUGAGAGAUCAGGUUUCCCCUUCGGGGGCAAAAUGACAGGUGGUGCAUGGUUGUCGUCAGCUCGUGUCGUGAGAUGUUGGGUUAAGUCCCGCAACGAGCGCAACCCUUAUGACUAGUUGCCAGCAUUUAGUUGGGCACUCUAGUAAGACUGCCGGUGACAAACCGGAGGAAGGUGGGGAUGACGUCAAAUCAUCAUGCCCCUUAUGACCUGGGCUACACACGUGCUACAAUGGAUGGUACAACGAGUUGCGAGACCGCGAGGUCAAGCUAAUCUCUUAAAGCCAUUCUCAGUUCGGACUGUAGGCUGCAACUCGCCUACACGAAGUCGGAAUCGCUAGUAAUCGCGGAUCAGCACGCCGCGGUGAAUACGUUCCCGGGCCUUGUACACACCGCCCGUCACACCAUGAGAGUUUGUAACACCCGAAGCCGGUGGCGUAACCCUUUUAGGGAGCGAGCCGUCUAAGGU
rnacentral:rRNA from 2 species